GUGUUCACUUCGGCAGCACAUAUACUAAAAUUGGAAAGAUACAGAGAAGAUUAGCAUGGCCCCUGCACGAGGAUGACAUGCAAAUUCAUGAAGCAUUCCAUAUUUAA
rnacentral:snRNA from 1 species